GUGUGUUAUUGUUUGUGAUGUGGGUUCUCGUUGUUCGUGCUUUGGAUUGUUUGUUCCUUGUUGGAAUCUUACCUUCAGCAGGUAAAGCCAGCCCUCCUCUCCCAAUGAAGGAGCGUGUUCAGCAGCAUGGGACCACGUUACAGAGUCUCGGUACAGCCAUGAAUCCGUGGUGCAAAUCAUGGACCGAUGGGAGAGAGAGGGGGUCCCCCCCCCCCUUCAGCACCCUCAAAGCUCCCACAACAACCGACCCAAAGAUCCACACUUCCUACAUCAGAAUCCAGUGGGAUUUGACGCUCCUGGGAGCAUGUGAUGGAACGGCUGCCGGGUGCCAGGGGUUCCUACUCCAGCUGGAGCUCUACCUGGCAGCUGUUCAGCCAGCCCCCUCAGGACACGAGAGAGUGAGUGCCCUCAUCUCUUGUCUGACUGGAAAAGCACUGGUCUGGGCCAACGCCAUCUGGGGAAGAGAAGGCCCGACGUUGGACAAUUACAAAGGUUUCACCCGCCGCUUCCGGAUGGUUUUCGAUCAUCCACCUAAAGGGGAGAGCGGCGGGGGAACGCUUGUUCCAUUUAUGACAAGGGAUGAGGAGCGCUCACUCUGGCCUCCGGCACGGGAUGGAAUGAGCGGGCCCUGAUCAACCACUACAGGUGUAGUUUAGGCGAGGACAUUUGUAGCGAGUUAGCCUGCAGGGACACCACCCUUAAUGGACCAGCUGGUGGACCUAUCCAUCUGGCUGGAUAACCUGUUGGCCUCCCGCGGAGGUCCACAUCGGGGUCUGUUAGUUCCAUCCCCCAGCACAUCUGAUCCUACCCCAAUAGAGCUGGGAGGUACUGCUAUGGGGGGGACCGUUCCCUACACCAACUGUGGCCGCAGAGGACACUGCUGGUCAGUGCUGGAGAGGUUUCCCAGGUAAUCGAGGUGGCAGGCGGAGCACUAGUGAAUCAUCUCAGGGUACCUCUUUUCAGCAUCAGGGGUGGAGAUGGAGAAUGACCGCAUUACAGCUGUGCGUAAUUGGCCCGACUCCCACCACGGUAAAGGAGGUGCAGCGGUUCUUCGGGUUUGCAGGUUUGCUAACUACUACCAGAGGUUUAGCCGGGGUUUCGGUCAGGUAGUGGCUCCCAUUACCUCCUUGCUUAACCAGUGCGACUGCAGUGGUCAGCGGAGGCUGACAGGGCUUUUUGUCAACUGAAGGCUCUGUUAACCUCUGCUGGUCGGUUUUCAUCCCCUGGGCGGAGAUGGCCCAAAACUCCCUUCGCCACUUUUCCACUAACCUAUCCCCUUUCCAGUGUGUACUAGGGUAUCAGCCGGUCCUGGCACCUUGGCAUCAGAGCCAGAUCGAGGCUCCUGCGGUGGAUGAAUGGUUUCGGCACUCGGGUACUGUCACGACUUCGGCCGAAGUUGGUCCCUCUCCUUCUUCGGGCGGCGUUUGGUGGUCGACGUCACCGGCUUUCUCGACACCAUCGAUCCAUGUUUCAUUUUUGUUUUGUCUUGAUCAUACACACCUGGUUUCCAUUCCUUUAAUUAUGUUCCUUAUUUAACCCUCUGAUUUCCCUCUCAGUUUUGUGUGUUAUUGUUUGUGAUGUGGGUUCUCGUUGUUCGUGCUUUGGAUUGUUUGUUCCUUGUUGGAAUCUUACCUGUUGAGUAAAUUUUGGAUUAUUACUCA